UACGUAGGGCGCAAGCGUUGUCCGGAAUUAUUGGGCGUAAAGAGCUCGUAGGCGGCUCGUCGCGUCGGAUGUGAAAGCCUGGAGCUUAACUCCAGGUCUGCAUUCGAUACGGGCGGGCUAGAGGCAGGUAGGGGAGAACGGAAUUCCCGGUGUAGCGGUGAAAUGCGCAGAUAUCGGGAGGAACACCGGUGGCGAAGGCGGUUCUCUGGGCCUGUACUGACGCUGAGGAGCGAAAGCGUGGGGAGCGAACAGG
rnacentral:rRNA from 1 species